rnacentral:rRNA from 1 species
UUCUACGGGAGGCAGCAGUGGGGAAUAUUGCACAAUGGGGGAAACCCUGAUGCAGCGACGCCGCGUGAGUGAAGAAGUAUUUCGGUAUGUAAAGCUCUAUCAGCAGGGAAGAAAAUGACGGUACCUGCACAAGAAGCCCCGGCUAACUACGUGCCAGCAGCCGCGGUAAUACGUAGGGGGCAAGCGUUAUCCGGAUUUACUGGGUGUAAAGGGAGCGCAGACGGCGGAGCAAGUCUGAUGUGAAAGGUGGGGGCUUAACCCCCAAACUGCAUUGGAAACUGUUUGGCUUGAGUGCCGGAGAGGUAAGCGGAAUUCCUAGUGUAGCGGUGAAAUGCGUAGAUAUUAGGAGGAACACCAGUGGCGAAGGCGGCUUACUGGACGGUAACUGACGUUGAGGCUCGAAAGCGUGGGGAGCAAACAGGAUUAGAUACCCUGGUAGUCC